rnacentral:rRNA from 1 species
AUGGAAGCCAGUCACACCACCCCUGAGUCCAUGGCGGCCUGGCUUCCCAUCGCCGCACGCCGCAUCUCGGGCGAUUUACUCCUCGUAUUGCAGACCAACAUACCAGACUACGAGGUCUGGGAAAGAGGCGCCCUUGAGCUGCCAUGCUUCGAGAACGCCACCUCGAUCACCCUCGAACUAGAGGGUCUUGGCCUCACGAUGCCGCCUUCCGGCAUAUUCGCCCGGCUCACCAAUCUCCACCUAGGUUGCAUCCGGCUACGUGGUCCGAGCAUGCUCGGCGAGGCUGUCUCCUCGCCGCGCUGCCCGGCGUUACAGAAACUGACUCUCAGUGGUACCUCGGGUCUGGGCAACUUGACCAUCCACUCGGAAUCUCUCUUGGAAAUGACACUGACGCGCGUGCACGGCUUGCAGCAGCUCAAUGUCACAGCGCCGGCACUCAAACAGUUAGAAGUGCUGUCCUGCUUUACUAAAGGUGGGAUGAUUUUGAUCCUACCGGUUGCAAACAUCUCCGCCCCUCAGCUGGAAUCCCUCAUGUGGUGGGAUGAUUCUGAUCCAAAGUUCACCCAGCUCGGCAAGAUGGAAAAUCUACAGUGCCUGAGCACCUUCCCUUUUACUAUAUAUGAAGAAACUGACCAUGUACGCGAGUUACAGAAUAGCUACUGUACAAGGCUUUUGCGGCGCUUUGAGCUCAUCCACAGUCUCAGAUUCCAACUUGUGAAUGAUCUGGUGAGUUGA